rnacentral:rRNA from 1 species
UACGUAGGGGCCGAGCGUUGUCCGGAGUUAUUGGGCGUAAAGCGCGCGCAGGCGGCCUCGCGCGCCCGACGUGAAAGCCCCCGGCUUAACCGGGGAGGGUCGUUGGGGACGGCGGGGCUUGAGGGCGGGAGAGGGCGGUGGAAUUCCCGGUGUAGUGGUGAAAUGCGUAGAGAUCGGGAGGAACACCUGUGGCGAAGGCGGCCGUCUGGGCCGACCCUGACGCUGAGGCGCGAAGGCGUGGGGAGCGAACGGGG